rnacentral:rRNA from 1 species
GAAUAGCCCACCGAAAGGCGGAUUAAUACCCCAUGGUCCCUCCUGGAAAUGGAAGGGUAAAGGUGGCUUCGGCUGCCGCUAUGAGAUUGGCUCGCGUCCUAUCAGCUUGUUGGUGAGGUAACGGCUCACCAAGGCAACGACGGGUACCUGGUCUGAGAGGACGAUCAGGCACACUGGAANUGAGACACGGUCCAGACACCUACGGGUGGCAGCAGUCGAGAAUAAUUCACAAUGGACGAAAGUCUGAUGGUGCAACGCCGCGUGGAGGAUGAAGGCCCUAGGGUCGUAAACUCCUGUCAUUUGAGAGUAAGACCUGGGUGUUAAUAGCACACAGGGUUGAUAGUAUCAAAAGAGGAAGGGACGGCUAACUUCGUGCCAGCAGCCGCGGUAAUACGAAGGUCCCGAGCGUUGUUCGGAAUCACUGGGCGUAAAGGGAGCGUAGGCGGUUUGGUAAGUCAGAUGUGAAAUCUCAGGGCUCAACCCUGAAACUGCAUCCGAUACUGCUAAACUAGAGUAAUGGAGGGGUAACUGGAAUUCUCGGUGUAGCAGUGAAAUGCGUGGAUAUCGAGAGGAACACUCGUGGCGAAGGCGAGUUACUGGACAUUUACUGACGCUGAGGCUCGAAGGCCAGGGUAGCGAAAGGGAUUAGAUACCCCUGUAGUCCUGGCAGUAAUACGGUGUGCGCUUGGUGUGAGGGGUUUCGACCCCCCUUGUGCCGGAGCUAACGCGUUAAGCGCACCGCCUGGGAAGUACGGUCGCAAGACUAAAACUCA